UACGGAGGAUCCGAGCGUUAUCCGGAUUUAUUGGGUUUAAAGGGAGCGUAGGUGGAUUGUUAAGUCAGUUGUGAAAGUUUGCGGCUCAACCGUAAAAUUGCAGUUGAAACUGGCAGUCUUGAGUACAGUAGAGGUGGGCGGAAUUCGUGGUGUGGCGGUGAAAUGCUUAGAUAUCACGAAGAACUCCGAUUGCGAAGGCAGCUCACUAGACUGCAACUGACACUGAUGCUCGAAAGUGUGGGUAUCAAACAGG
rnacentral:rRNA from 1 species